AGAAAAGUUGUCUUACAGAGAACCUUGACCUUUAAUUGAACUAGAUAACUACAAGGGACACCAUGAUGGCAUUAAUGAAACAUGAUUUUGAUAAUACCAUCAUUCUAUCCUACGUUUCUUACUUAAUUUCACUAAUACAAUACUGUGACACUUAAGUCGUUAAUUUCAAAGGUAAACAAAAAAUUCUAUGUUGUGAAAGAUUCCAUAAGGAGGAGAGUGAAGAAGAAAGGAAGGGAGAAGGAAUCCUGGCAAAAUAAACAGAAGCACGUGUGACAGAGUACUUCAAAUUACAAAGAAUUAAACUUCUCAGCUUAUAAAGAGCCUUGUAUGAAUGUCAUAAAUAAGUCAAUUUCUACAAAAUGCCAUAAACUACCAAGCCAUUUGUCACCUAGUCAUAGAAAGCGUAACAUCAGUAUAAUUUCUUAAUGAAUUAAUUGUCUAUUAGACAAAGUGAUGGCGGAAAAUGACGAGCACGUUUCGCAGGAAAAAUAAUUAAAGAAAGCCCGGUGGCAAUCGAAGCGCGAGUCACAGAUAAAUUGAAACUGGUUUCAACUAGCCACUAGUAGUUUGAUCUGGACUUGGUGAACUUCUUUUGAACCACUUUGGACUGUUCUUUGUUUUCUCUGGACAUCUUCAAAGUUACUUCUUCAUUGCUUCUCUUUCUUAAACUGAAUUUCAUAAAAUCAAUUCCUGGAAAUUUAAAGAUAGAGCAUAGUUACAGAAUCUGGAUGUUAAAGGGAUAGAAUAAUACAAAAAAGAUUAAAAGGAAUUAUUCCUAUUCUGCACACAA